rnacentral:tRNA from 1 species
GCCCGCUUGGCUAAGUGGUAUAGCGUGUCACUAGUACUUUCUAGAUGCCAUGACAAGAUCAGCGGUUCGAUUCCGCUAGUGGGCA